UUUCCAUUCCCAUUUAACUUCUGAGCUGUUUGAGAAUAGAACAGGAACUUGAAAUGACCAGCUUGCUCCACGCCAUUGUGCGAUCUCAGGCUGGAAAUGGAGACACACAAGUGCACGCAGAAGCACCUGAAAUGAACUGGAGUGAGCCAGCAUCACAUGGAACAGGUCUCCUAAGUCACAGGAUGCCUUGUUGUAAAUCAAGGAGAGUGGCGUUGAAGAGAAACCACCUGGAGCAUCACAGAUCACUGCUGUCCCAACCAUGACGACUCAAUGAGGAGAAGUUCCAUGUAUCACCCCUUCUUAGUACGCCACCUUGCACCAUGAAGGAGAAGACUGCAUUGGGAUUUUCUCUGAUGAAGUGAAAAAGCAUGCGGAAGCACUCACUCAGUGCCUGGUACCUCCUGUGCUUUUCUUUCCUUAAUGCUUGUUACAGUGUUUGGUACAUAGUGGGUGCUUAGCACAUAUUAGCUAUUGUUCUUUUUUAGGAGUAUAGAGAAUUUUAUUAUAUAGAUGUGAAGACCAAGGGUAUUUAUUUCCCAUGGCUAUAGGAACAAAGGACCA